rnacentral:lncRNA from 1 species
ACAUUCAGCAGUCUGUGUGUUCUAUGCAAGCCCACCACACCAGCCCAUUCUGGGAUAUCCAGAAAUACAUAUCAACACAUGGCAAUACCAUUUUUGCAGUGCUUUAAAGUUGUAUUUAUUUAUUUUUAAUUAGUACAGACAAUAACAGGUUUUUCUUGUACCAUAUUCAUGUGUUCUGUAUCUUGGCCAACCCUCCUCUGUUCCUCUUCCACUUGCCAUUCCCCUGUCUGCACCCACCUCACCCCCAGUAUUCCCAUUCCCACUUUCCUGGCACUCAUGUCCUAUCGCUCUCCCUUACAACCACUCACCUCUUUUUCAGGCCUCUUUCUAGCUUUAUAAUCUGUACCCACUCGUUCUCAUUAAUGCAUAGAUGUAAAAAUUAGAGGUUAGAUCUGCAUAGCAACAAGAAUAUAUUUGUUUUCCUGAGUGACCUCACUCAUUUCUUUCAAUUCCAACCAUUUGCCUACAGAUUUUUUUCUUUCUUUUCUUUCUUUUUUUUUUUUUUACAGCUAGUAAAAUUCUGUUAUGUACCUCUUUAUAUAUCCUACAUAUUCACCAUCUAUUCAUUUGUUGAUAGAUGUCUAGGAUAAUUCUUUUUCUGUUUUGAAUAUAGCAGCAAUGACUAUGAAUAUAUGCAUAUCUGUCAUAGAUAUAGAAUCCUUUGUGUAUACGCCAGGAGAAGUAUAGUUGGGAUAUAUGGUGGUUCUGCUUUAUUUCUUUGAGGAUCCUCUACACUCAGUUACACCAUGGUUUCAUCAGUUAUCAUCCCAUCAACAGUGAGUAAGGCUUACUCAUUUUUCAUUAUUCUUAUCUGUGUUUUUUGUUUCCCUAAUAAUAGACAUUCAGAUUGGGAUAAGAUAGAGUCUCAAAGUAGUCUUAGUUUGAAUUUCUCUGAUAUGUAAGGAUGUCAAAACAGCUUUUAAAAUAUUGUUGGCCAAUUAUGCCUCAUCUUUUGAGAAUUAUUUGUUUGGUACAUUGACCCAUUUAUUAAUUGGCAUAUUUCAUUUCUUUCUUUCUUUUUUAUAUAUCAUAUUAUUAUAUAUUACGAUACAAUGUUGUUAUAUAGUAAUAUAUAUUUAUAUAUCUUAAAUAUUCAUUCUCUGUCUGAGUUUAGUGGGCAAGAAUUGUCUCCCAGUAGGCUACCUGUGUGCUUUGUUGAUAGCCUCAUUGCUCUGCAGAAGUUUUUAUCUUCACCUAAUCCCAUUUGUCAAUUCUUUUUUUUUCUUUUUUGAGUUAUAAUUCUUUUUAAAUUUAUUUUUAUUAGAUAUUUUCCUUAUUUACAUUUCAAGUGUUAUCCUCUUUCCUGAUUUCCCCUCUGAAAAUGCCCUAUCCCAUCCCCUCUCCCCCUGCUUCCGUGAGGGUAUUCCCACACCCAUCCUCACCACCCUGGUGUUCCCCUACAAUGGGGCAUUGAGCCUUCAAAGGACCAAGGGCCUCUCCUCUCAUUGAUGUCUGACAAGGCCAUCAGAGCCAUGUGUCCCUCCAUAUCCCGAGCUUUUGUUCCCACCGGAAAGAACACGCUCAGGACAACCGGAAUCUUCUGCGGCAAAAGCUUUAUUGCUUACUUCUUCAGGAGCAAGAGCGAAAAUGGCAAAACCCCGUCCCUUUUAAGGAGAAUUAUCCUCCACCUAGGACGUGUCACUCCCUGAUUGGCUGCAGCCCAUUGGCCGAGUUGUCCUCACGGGGAAGGCAGAGCACAUGGAGUGGAGAACUACCCUGGCACAUGCGCAGAUUAUUUGUUUACUACUUAGAACACAGGAUAUCAGCGCCAUCUUGUAAUGGCGAAUGUGAGGGCGGCUCCCCACACCUCCAUGUGUAUUCUUUGGUUGGUGGUUUAGUGCCUGGGAGAUCAGGGGUGUCUGGUUGGUUGAUAUUAUUGUUCCUCCUAUGGGACUACAAACCCCUUCAGUUCCUUCAGACCUUUAUCUAACUCUUCCAUUGGGGACCCGAUGGCUGUCAGCAUCUGCCUCUAUAAUUGUCAGGCUCUGGCAGUGUCUCUCGGGUGACAGCUGUAUCUUGCUCCUGUCAGCAAGCACUUCCUGGCAUCCACAAUAGUGCCUGGGUUUGGUAACUGUAUAUAGGAUGGAUCCCCAGGUGGGGCAGUCUCUGGCUGGCCUUUCAUUCAGUCUCUGUUCCACACUUUGUCUCUGUAUCUCCUCACGUGGGUUUUUGUUCUCCCUUCUAAGAAGGACUGAAGUAUCUACACUGUGGUCUUCCUUCUUCCUGAGCUUCAUGUGAUCUGUGAAUUGUAUCUUGGGUAUUCCAAGUUUUGGGACUAAUAUGUACUUAUCAGUGAGUGGGUACCAUGUGUGUUCUCUGUGACUGGGCUACCUUACUUAGGAUGAUAUCUUCUAGUUCCAUCCAUUUGCCUAAGAAUUUCAUAAAGUCAUUGUUUGUAAUAGCUGAGUAGUACUCCAUUGUGUAAAUGAACAUCAUUUCCUGUAUCCAUUACUCGGUUGAAGGACAUCUGGGUUCUUGGUUCCAACUUCUGGCUAUUAUAAAUAAGGCUGCUAUAAACAUAGUGUCUUUGUUAUAUGUUGGAGCAUCUUUUGGGUAUAUGCCCAGGGGUGUUAUAGCUGGGUCCUCACGCAGUACUGUGUCCAAUUUUCUGAGGAACCGCCAGACUGAUUUCCAGAGUAGUUUUACCAGUGUGCAAUCCCACCAACAAUGGAGGAGUGUCUUCUUUCUCCUUAUCCUUGCCAGCAUCUGCUGUCACCUGAGUUUUUGAUCUUAGCCAUUCUAAUUGGUUUCAGGUGGAAUCUCGGGGUUAUUUUAAUCUGCAUUUCCCUGGUGGCUCAGGAUGUUGAACAUUUCUUUAGGUGCUUCUCAGCCAUUCAGUAUUCCUCAGUUGAGAACUGUUUGUUUAGCUCUGUACUCCAUUUUUUUUAAAUAAUCUCCCAUGCUCAUAGAUUGACAGAAUUAAUAUAGUAAAAAUGGUCAUCUUGCUAAAAGCAAUCUAUAGAUUCAAUGCAAUUCCCAUCAAAAUUCCAACUCAAUUCUUCAUAGAGUUAGAAAGAGCAAUUUGCAAAUUCAUCUGGAAUCACAGACACACACAAAAAAAGCAAAACAGGAUGGCAAAAACUAUUCUCAACAAUAAAAGAACUUCUGGGGGAAUCACCAUUUCUGACCUCAAAGCUGUAUUAUAGAGCAAUGGUGAUUAAAAACUGCAUGGUAUUGGUACAGACACAGGCAGGUAGAUCAAUGGAACAGAAUUGAAGACCCAGAAAUGAACUCACACACUUGUGGUCACUUGAUCUUUGACAAAGGAGCUAAAGUCAUCCAGUGGGAGUGCGGGGUGAGGAAAGGCAGCUUUUUCAACAAAUGGUGCUGGUUCAAUUGUCAAUCAGCAUGUAGAAGAAUGCAAAUCUAUCCAUUCUUAUUUCCUUGUACAAAGCUCAAGUCCAAGUGGAUCAAGGACUUCCACAUAAAACCAGAGACAUGGAAACUAAUAGAAGAGAGAGUGGUAAGGACCUCGAGCACAUGGGCACAGGGGGAAAGGGAACGUUCCUGAACAGAACACCAAUGGCUAAUAGUCAGGUACAUGGUUAGAGCUAGCAACAGUCAUGCUUAAGUGGGCCAACCCAGACCCAGAAAGAUGCACAUUGCAUAUUUUCUCUUUUCUGUGGGUGUUAGACAUUAAGCUUCAGGUAUGUGUGUUUUUAUUUCUAAUGUUGCCAGAGGUUAAGCAGCCAGUAGGAGACUAGGUAAGAGGACAGGAUCUUCCAAAGUAGGAAAAAUAGAAUACACUGUUACAAAUGGGUGAAGAGAAAGGUAGAAUAAAUGCAUUAAAUGGAUAGUAUUUUUUAAAUAAAUCCCAAGCCAAAAUAAUCAUAUCCUCACAGAAGACAGCUGAAGAGCAUGUGGAACGUUAAAG